CUGGACAUGCAGUCAGUAGGCACUCUGAAGGGGCAGGUGGCUCUUUGCUACCUGGUACUCUGGCUGACAUAUUCUAAUGCUCAGAAGAUCCUGACACAGCCUGCUGUUAUUACAGUGAGUCUUGGUGAAACUGCCAUGCUGGGCUGUAACAUCAUGAAAGAUGAGAGCUACGCUGUCAUAUGGAUUAAGCAGGUCCUAGGCAGCCCUCCCCAGCAUAUUUUCUAUUUCUAUCAUUCUUACAGCACUCCACAAGGAUAUGGCACUAGCUUCUCCUCCAGUCGUUUCACAUCAGAAGCCAAAAGCAGUAAAAUUGAUUACCAGUUAAUAAUCAGAAAUGUGGAAGCGUCAGACAGCGCUGUGUAUUACUGCUACACCUGGGAUAGCUCUGUCAGCUCUGGGGUAUCACAGUGA